AGAUGUUUUCUGACAAAGUCUAAUGUGACCUUCCUGUUCUUGAGUGUUCCCUGUGGUUUGCACCUUGUUGUACAUUUUCUGUAUUUAUA